UAUGAACAUACUGAUACCCGUCCUCGAGUUAACCUGCUAACCAUCUGUGUGUAAUCCCUCUAAUACGGUUCAACUCCAGCUGUUUGCUUUCAGUUCAGAUGUGAAUGAACACGCUUG